rnacentral:lncRNA from 1 species
AAUAAUUAUAUGACGUGAUAGAGAUGUUACCUUAAAUACUACAAUCUAUACAUGUACUAAAUUAACACUUUGUACAUUUUGAGCUUACACAAGGUCAUAUGUCAAUGACAUUUGAAUUAAAAAAACACACGUAACAAAGAUGAUCACAUGAGAAAAGAAAUCUGUUUCAAAUUCCUUUUCCCUCAGUCUUUCAAGGUGUCUCGGUGGCAAGGUCACUUAAGGUUGUCUGUGUACCUGAUAGGCAGGAUUCACACCUCCACGUGCCUGGGCAAAAUUGCACAUCCCUUCUAAACUCAGUAUUGCCAUCAAAAUGCAGAACUCAUACAACAAAUGGACAGAUUGUAAUUGCUUAUUAAUUUGACAAAUUCCUCGAAACUGUUCUCUUGGUAAGUUGAAGGCAGCAAUCGAAAAAGAGAGCCCCAAAAGAAAAGACAAACGCCGUAUCCUAAGAAAGAACGUGAAAAGAAUUUUACCCUGGGAGGUCACAUUCUACUGCGGGGUUUCUCACUUUCACUUUCUGAAAGAACUGCUUGUAGCUGAUCACAUGUUUGUUUAAUGAAGUGUCUAGCUUAAAAUGAGUUAAUGAACCUUUGUGGAGCAAAAUAAGCAAUACUGCUUUUUAUGUGAAUAGCAAGCUGAUUAUUGCUUCAUUUCUACUUAACUGUAAUAUAGUCUGAAAGGAUUAUGCCACUAACAUAUUAGAGGGGAUUUUGAGUGAAUAUUAAGAAGCCGAUUAUACAAUUUUUAGAAUUUUCUAGACUAGUUUUCUUUUGAAAGACAAUUUUGAAAGCAUAUCACAUCACAUUUCUCUGUUUGAAAGAAAAGAAACAGUCUGAAAUCUACCCAUCCAGCAUCACUUGGGCCCCCAAAUCCUGCCCUGCCCCUCACACCUCAGAAAUCCCAGAGGCUUAUUCUUGGAACAUGAGGAUUUCCCAAGACUUGUUUUGAAAUGCACUGAUCUAGUUAGUCUAUUACCUUCUCACAUUCCUUUCUUCUAGCUUUGGCUAUGUUAUACCUCAUAAUUGCCUUCAACUGAACAGCAACCACAGAACAUGAUUGGAACCAAAUUUUGUGGAAAACAUACACAGUAGUUUUAAAAUAAAGGAAAAAUUACUUGCCUUAUCAAUUUGCCAUGAUUACCUAAAUUAAGUCAUAUAUAUGUAUUUGAUUCCCUCCCAGAGCACCUGAUGCAAAAGAUGUUAAAGGCAUGUGAAUUUCCUUCCUGGUCUUUUUCUUCCUUCAAGUAUUCCCUUUUUCAAGUGAAACAGGACUCUAGUGAUGCCCUCAAUUUUUUGUUUUUUAAGAAGAAAUCUUUAUGGUCAUUGUUUCUACAGUUAGAAUCAUUUUGUUGUGUUUCCCAUCAGACGUAUAAAUUUUAUGUAGAAAAUGAUAUUUGAAAGAAUUCUCAGACAGUGGAACUUGGGGACCUACAGCAUGUUGAUGAGACAGCUCCACUCUCUGGAUUCCGUCUAUGUCACCCUGGUGAUGCCAUGAAAUUUGAACUCAUGGUAGCUCCUUUUUAUUGAUAAUUGUGACACUGUAAAUAAAAGACACCAUUCAUGGAAUCCAGUCAGGUUCCUCAUUCUCCAUUUUUACUCAAAUGUAACGCAGUAACCCAUCACAUUGUAGGUGCUGCAUGCUCAACGUUGCCAUAUCUAAGAGGAGGCCGUUCAUAUUGUAGAGAUGGCAGAUUUGUAUAUUGAUUACAGCAAUUUUUUCUGACAGAUGAGAAUAAAUCCCAGUUCUAGCAAAAUCACAAAAGGUCUGAAGACGGGAGUUACAUGACAGAUGUCUUCCUUUUGCCCCUAAAAAUCCAUUCUCUGCCUAUCUCCACUUAUCCCUAUUCUGUCUUCUGCCCAGAGAAACUGACUUAUUUGUUCCACAAAACAGAACUUUCAUGUCUUCUGGCUUCUUGCUGGAGUCUAGCCAGUAAAGAGCCAGGAGAUAAGAAAGUCAAAGAUGGGUGAGGUCAGAAUAGCUGUCUCCCCUUUCUUGGCAACCAACCCCACACAAGUCACACACUAGUGACUUACAGACUUGGCUGACUAAUAAACUGAGGGGUAUUCAUCUUGGGUCUCCACACCCACAAAUUUAAAAAUAAUGUCUUCAUAAAUAAUAUUUCUGAUCUUGUUCUAUUUUGAAGGUGCCUAGACUCCCAGGGUUCCCAGACUCCCAGAGGCCCCAUCCUCAAUCACAUAGAGACAGUGCACAUGCUAGCCCUUCCAUGUGUUCAUGCUCCAAAUUCAGAGCCUUGGUUUCACCGAUUACAUGAGUCCAUAGUUUCUCUAUAAUAGAAAAAAAAGGGGACAAAGGGACAAUUGGAAUGAAGUAUUUUUGAGAUUUAUGAAGAAUAGGACUCUCCUAGAAAAAUCUAGCACAUAUGCUUAUGUUUGUAUUCAGUUUAGAGAGAAAUAAAAAUUCUUAGACAUUCCUUUUUACUGUGAAAAACACCACUCUAAACUACAGAAUAACAAAAUCUUGAUUCGAUGUUUAUUUAUAUUGCUGGUGUAUUAAACACAAACAUCAGGGAUCCCUGGGUGGCGCAGCGGUUUGGCGCCUGCCUUUGGCCCAGGGCGCGAUCCUGAAGACCCGGGAUCGAAUCCCACGUCGGGCUCCCGGUGCAUGGAGCCUGCUUCUCCCUCUGCCUAUGUCUCUGCCUCUCUCUCUCUCUCUCUCUCUGUGUGACUAUCAUAAAUAAAUAAAAAUUUAUAAAAAAUAAAAAUAAAAAAAAUAAACAUCAAACCAUAUAAAAGUUUAAAAUAAUGAGUCUUACAUCCAAACCUCCAAUUCUGGUCCCCUUUUCUUUUUAACAAUUUACUUUUUCCCCCUUUUGGAUGCACAUCAGAGGAUAUUCUUAAAAUGUUUUAAAAUAUUCAAAUACCUAAAUAUUAUAAAUAUCUGGAAAUAUUUAUAAAAUUAUUCUGAAAUAUGUUUAUGCUACCAUUUCCUGGAUUACCAAUUUAAACAGUAGUAAUUGAUUUCCAACAAUAUCAAAUUAGCUCUUUAUAAAAUCACACUUUCACCACACAUUAUAAAGAUACAAUUGCUUUUAUGUUCCCAAGAUAUCUAUAAUUUAUCUUCUGUUAUUUAUCCAUAACCAUGUCCUUUGUAUUUUAUCAAUAUGUUGAUUAUAUAAAUUGAAGGCCAAAAAUAGCAUUUAUAAUAUCAAGGCAUAUAAUAUAGCAAAAUCAAGUUGUAUGUAGGGGGGCAGGGAGGGAAUGCACCUUAAGCUACUAAAUAUGUGCCACUAAAGACAAAAUAUGCUCAGCAUCAAGGUCAAAUUAAUUCUCUUCAGGCACUCAAUCAAUUGCUUAAAAUAUUGCCACUUGAAUGUGCUUGUUCCUCCAUCAUGAACCAUACAUUCAGUUGUAUAUAAUUUAAAAUGAGAGAGAUUUAAAAAUAAGCCAUAAAUUAUACACAAAUAUAGCAUUAUUUAUGUUAAACUUCCAAUGAAUUUAUUAAUCUUAGGAAAAACUGAUAAUGAGAGAAAUCAUUGCUUCAGGAAGGUUACCAUGGCAACAGUUUGGCUUGGUUUCCAUGGUUACAAAGAGUACAGCUGAGAGGCUCAAAGAAUCACAAUUUCCUUUGAUUGGUAGAUUCUUAAAAAUGAUGAUUUGGAAAGUGACAGGGGAUUAAAAAAGAAAAAGAUUUCCCUCAUGAGGAACAAGACAUUAAGUGUAAUAAUAGCACAUUGAUGGUCAGACACAAGACAGGCUUUGAAAUUUAAUGAAACAUCCCUUUGCUCCUUUAUAAAAAAAAAUUGGACAGAAUAUCUCAAUUUAUAACAGCAUGAAACUGUAAAUCAAAAUCGCUGCUCCUGAUUAACUGGCCAAAAUAUGUUACAUUGUUUAUAAUGAACUUUCAAGAAUUAGCAUAAAAAUUACUAGUUGACUUAUAUUGUCAAUGACCCAAAUGACUAAAAUAAAUAUUUUAACACCUCUCCAUUGUGUUGUGUAGUUUAACAAGAAAAAAAGUAUAAUAGAAAUACAAUUAUAAGAGCAUUAAUAAAUCUAGAGUCAGAGAAUAUCUCUCUAGUUGUAUGUACUUAGUCACAUCAUUUUAUUUUCAACUUGCCAAGUAACUAUCAGUCCUUACCAUCAAAAAUAACACAAAUAUUGAAAACUACUUAAGUUUCUGGUUAGGAAACCAUGAUUUUAAGAUCUCUUUCUGUGUCUCGAAGCCCAAGAUUUUAAAAUAUUUUCUCCCAACUUGAAGGGCAAAUUGAAGAGACGUUUAGGCAGAGAAGGAAAAAAGGUCUAGAUACGUAGCCCCUCCCUACCACACUGGAGUCUCUUAAGAGACAGGAAAAAUGUCUGAGACUCUUCAUUUAGAUUUCCCCGGCAGGAAGAUGUUUAAAGGGAAAAAAUGAAUUAUAUUUCCCAGAGUUGUGUCCAGUCAGGAGGCAAAGCAGUCAAAGACAAAGAAUUAAAAAGCAAGGCAGAUUGUCUGGGAGAGGCGAAUGAAGCCUAGUGAAAUGCAUGUGCCAAAGGCCAUGGGUCUAAACACCUUAUCUGCAGUCUCUGAAUUGCCUUUACCAUGCAGUGCUGCAAUCCCUCAAACUCUACAGGCAGUACACUAGUCAUUCUGGAAAUUUUAUGGGCAAAAGCAAGUUUCCAACUGUGUUUCUGUCCCAGUGCUUAGAGCAAGUGGCAAUGGCUGUUGGAGGAAGUGACAAGAGAAAUAACCUGCCUAAUCAUCUUGGAAGCAAAGGAGAGCUGUAGGAUCCCACUUUACUUGGGGUGGAGGGGGAUCCACCCACAGGACAGAAGCAGAAUACACAGCAACAGAGAACACUGAGAUUUUGAUACAAAGUAUUUCACAAAAAUGGAAAAAAGAACCCAGAGAUCAAAUCCUUUAAAUAAGAUAUCUCUUGACUUUCAUGGUCAUAUGCUACAUAAAAGUAAUAGAUUACAAAAUACUAAAGAUGUUGAACUGAAGCUCUGUGAAUUUCAUAUCAGGUUGGAAAGGAAAAUCAUGGAGGAUUUAUCCCCACUACAUCAAAGGAAUCAGAAGGCCUUGACUGAGAUGGAUAAAAGAAAGAAGCAUGUUAGCACUGCAAAAGGCUAUUGAAAAGGCCAAAAAAAAAAAAAAAAAAAAA